UGGCUUGGUCUGGAAAGGCGGGGCCUCAGUGACAUCAAUCAUCAUAUGCAAGAUGAACAUUGGCUUGGUCCAGAAAGGCGGGACCUCGGUCCAGAAAGGCGGGACAACUUGAAGCCAAGACAGGAAGCAGGAAAGGGGCUUCCAGGUCACAGGACAAAGAGGCAAAGCAGAAGCAGCAGACAGGACGUCAAAGAACCAGUGCAUGGCUGCGCCGGGCCCCGGGGCUUCCCACACGGGUUACUGUCAUCCUUCCGAAUCACUGGACUUGAAGCCCAGCAUGUUGCUGAGUUUUGCUCCAGAGGCAAUUGCCAUUUGUUAUUUAAGUGACAAAGGUAACGCAUGCCGGCGGGAAGCAAUGCACAAAAUGUGAAGGUCAUACAGGAAGCUUAUUGGAGCCUCACAUCUGGAAAGCACUACAGACCGCACCGCAGACCGCACGACAGACCGCACCGCAGACCGCUCUACAGACCGGCACAUGCGCAACCCUGCCCGGCUGCUCUCCCUCCCUGCCUGGCUGCUCUCCCUCCCUGCCCAGCUGCUUUCUCUCCCUGCUGUGACCAGGCCAUUUUGGUGCAUUAUCUGUGCUCAGCGCUUUCCUCCUCUAUUUGAUGACGAAGUUAGUUUUGGCUGCCAGCAGCUUUGUGGGACACAACCACAAGAAUGGAAGA
rnacentral:lncRNA from 10 species